GAUGAACGCUGGCGGCAUGCCUAAUACAUGCAAGUCGAGCGGACAGACGAUGAGCUUUCUCCUCUGCCGUUAGCGGCGGACGGGCGAGUAACACGUGCAUAACCUACCUAUAAGACUGGGAUAACUUCGGGAAAACGCAGCUACUACCAGAUAAUAUAACGAACCGCAUGGUUCAAUAGUGAAAGACGGUUUUGCCGUCACAAUUAGAUGGAUCCGCGCCGGAUUAGCUAGUUGGUAAGGUAACGGCCUACCAAGGCAACGAUGCGUAGCCGACCUGAGAGGGUGAUCGGCCACACUGGAACUGAGACACGGUCCAGACUCCUACGGGAGGCAGCAGUGGGGAAUAUUCGGCAAUGGGCGAAAGCCUGACCCAGCCAUGCCGCGUGAGUGAUGAAGGUCUUCGGAUCGUAAAACUCUGUUAUUAGGAAAGAAAAGCUGUAUAAGUAAAUAUGCAUGUCCUGACGGUACCUAAUGAGAAAGCACCGGCUAACUACGUG
rnacentral:rRNA from 1 species